GUGGGGUGAUGGCCUACCAAGGCGACGACGGGUAGCCGGCCUGAGAGGGCGACCGGCCACACUGGGACUGAGACACGGCCCAGACUCCUACGGGAGGCAGCAGUGGGGAAUAUUGCACAAUGGGCGAAAGCCUGAUGCAGCGACGCCGCGUGAGGGAUGAAUGCCUUCGGGUUGUAAACCUCUUUCAGCAGGGACGAUUGUGACGGUACCUGCAGAAGAAGCCCCGGCCAACUACGUGCCGGCAGCCGCGGUAAUACGUAGGGGGCGAGCGUUGUCCGGAAUCAUUGGGCGUAAAGAGCUCGUAGGCGGUUUGGUAAGUCGGGUGUGAAACCUCCAGGCUCAACCUGGAGAUGCCACUCGAUACUGCCAUGACUAGAGUCCGGUAGGGGUCCACGGAAUUCCUGGUGUAGCGGUGAAAUGCGCAGAUAUCAGGAGGAACACCGGUGGCGAAGGCGGUGGGCUGGGCCGGAACUGACGCUGAGGAGCGAAAGCGUGGGGAGCGAACAGGAUUAGAUACCCUGGUAGUCCACGCCGUAAACGUUGGGCACUAGGUGUGGGACCUUAUCAACGGGUUCCGUGCCGUAGCUAACGCAUUAAGUG
rnacentral:rRNA from 1 species